GACGAACGCUGGCGGCGUGCUUAACACAUGCAAGUCGAGCGGACAGGCGAUGCUUUUGUUGCUUGCUCGUUAGCCGAACAGGUGAGUAACACGUGUGUAACCUCCCCCUGUCUUUCGGAUAACUUCUGGGAAAACGGGCUAUUACCCGAUAUAAUCUCCUGCUGCGUGGUGGUGGUUGGAAAAUGUCGGCGUUUGUGGAUGGACUCGAGGGUUAUCAGCUGGAUUGGGGGGUAGUGGCUUACCAAGGCUUUGACGGGUACCCGGCCUGAGAGGUGGACCGGCGACAGUGGGACUGAGGGACGGACCAGACGGCUACGGGAGGCAGAAGUGGGGAAUAUUGCACAAUGGGCGGAAGCCUGAUGCAGCAACGCCGCGUUCGGGAUAACGGCUUUCGGGUUGUAAACAGCUGUCGCCGGUGACGAACAGUGAGUGACGGUAAUGGGUAAAGAAGCACCGGCUAACUACGUG
rnacentral:rRNA from 1 species